CUGAAUGAUGCUGCUCAGUCCCUCAGACUUCUGGACAAACUCAAGAUUCGUGACGGAGGCCACAGCAGACUGUGGCACCAUCUUCGUAUGGUUCCUGAUGAACACUUGUGGAAUUGAACUCCAUUGCUCCCAAGGUGGUGGAGGCGGUCGUGUCCAUAUCCUCUGAUGUUGCAGGCUGAGUCUCCAGACUUGUUGCCAGUCUCUCCAGCUCAGCCUCAUACAUGAUCUCCUGGAUCAGAUACUUCUCCCUGCGCAUGCGGUCACGCAAGUCUUUUGGCAAGUCAGGGAUCAGGAUGUCACUUUCAGAACCAAAGAGGGAACUGGAAGUGGUCGAAGGAAAUGAAGCUGUCCAUGUCCUCUAACCUAGAGGAUAUCUAAGAAACUCAAGAAGGCUAUGCGGGUCAGAGCUUAAAACAAUUUAUUUGUCAGGUGUAAGUUACUCAUCCAAACAUAAUAGUGUCCAUUUAGAAUGAAUAAUGUGAAGUUACAAAUAGAGAGAUCAUACGAAACAAUCAGAGAAUGAACAUACCCAGCUCAGAGGAUGAUGGCUACACACCAAAGUGGUGCGGGAGUUCUGACUACAGAAU